ensembl:misc_RNA Metazoa_SRP Metazoan signal recognition particle RNA
GCCGGGUAUGGUGGUGCAUGCCUGUAAUCCCAGCUACUCAGGAGGCUGAGGCAGGAGAAUCACUUGAACUUAGGAGGCAGAGGUUGCAGUGAGCUGAGAUCGUGCCACUGCACUCCAGCCUGGGGGACAGAGUGAGACUCUGUCUCAA